rnacentral:lncRNA from 1 species
UCUCCUAAGGGUGGAGUGUAGUUCGGAGGAAGACCAUAAGGAGGGAAAGUUUGUGCCUCCGAUGCUCUUUGUUGUGGUUGCGGUGCCCGCGAAUCUCCAGGGUCUUGUAAUGCAUUCAAAGCCUCUAGGAUUUGGCCCAUUUGUCCCUUCAGUUGUUGGAUAUCGGCUUUCAUCUCCUCUUGAACUUCUUCUUGAUUCUCCAUGAUUUUUCCACUGGUUCGUGCCUUUUAGGGUGUCUUGGAAACUUAGCCGUAUU